rnacentral:rRNA from 1 species
UUAGGUAGCGCCUCGUGAAUUCAUCUCCGGGGGUAGAGCACUGUUUCGGCUAGGGGGCCAUCCCGGCUUACCAACCCGAUGCAAACUGCGAAUACCGGAGAAUGCUAUCACGGGAGACACACGGCGGGUGCUAACGUCCGUCGUGAAGAGGGAAACAACCCAGACCGCCAGCUAAGGUCCCAAAGUCAUGGUUAAGUGGGAAACGAUGUGGGAAGGCCCAGACAGCCAGGAUGUUGGCUUAGAAGCAGCCAUCAUUUAAAGAAAGCGUAAUAGCUCACUGGUCGAGUCGGCCUGCGCGGAAGAUGUAACGGGGCUAAACCAUGCACCGAAGCUGCGGCAGCGACACUGUGUGUUGUUGGGUAGGGGAGCGUUCUGUAAGCCUGUGAAGGUGUGUCGUGAGGCAUGCUGGAGGUAUCAGAAGUGCGAAUGCUGACAUAAGUAACGAUAAAGCGGGUGAAAAGCCCGCUCGCCGGAAGACCAAGGGUUCCUGUCCAACGUUAAUCGGGGCAGGGUGAGUCGACCCCUAAGGCGAGGCCGAAAGGCGUAGUCGAUGGGAAACGGGUUAAUAUUCCCGUACUUGGUGUUACUGCGAAGGGGGGACGGAGAAGGCUAUGUUGGCCGGGCGACGGUUGUCCCGGUUUAAGCGUGUAGGUGUGUGUUCCAGGUAAAUCCGGUUCACUUUAACACUGAGGCGUGACGACGAGGCACUACGGUGCUGAAGCAACAAAUGCCCUGCUUCCAGGAAAAGCCUCUAAGCAUCAGGUAACAUCAAAUCGUACCCCAAACCGACACAGGUGGUCAGGUAGAGAAUACCAAGGCGCUUGAGAGAACUCGGGUGAAGGAACUAGGCAAAAUGGUGCCGUAACUUCGGGAGAAGGCACGCUGACACGUAGGUGAAGUGAUUUACUCAUGGAGCUGAAGUCAGUCGAAGAUACCAGCUGGCUGCAACUGUUUAUUAAAAACACAGCACUGUGCAAACACGAAAGUGGACGUAUACGGUGUGACGCCUGCCCGGUGCCGGAAGGUUAAUUGAUGGGGUCAGCGCAAGCGAAGCUCCUGAUCGAAGCCCCGGUAAACGGCGGCCGUAACUAUAACGGUCCUAAGGUAGCGAAAUUCCUUGUCGGGUAAGUUCCGACCUGCACGAAUGGCGUAAUGAUGGCCAGGCUGUCUCCACCCGAGACUCAGUGAAAUUGAACUCGCUGUGAAGAUGCAGUGUACCCGCGGCAAGACGGAAAGACCCCGUGAACCUUUACUAUAGCUUGACACUGAACAUUGAGCCUUGAUGUGUAGGAUAGGUGGGAGGCUUUGAAGCGUGGACGCCAGUCUGCGUGGAGCCG